rnacentral:lncRNA from 1 species
AAACUGCAGCCUUGAUUCAGGGCCAUUUUGUUUUUGUUUUUGGUUUUUUGAACAAAAAGAGAAAGCAAAACAAAAUCAUCUUGUUGCAAAUUUAGCAUUUGGAGAGGGGUUCUGAUUAGGGGGAUCUCAAAUUCUUCCAUCUUUUUCUUAACCUCGGGUGGCUGCUGACUAACUUGGUCAGGCAAUCAUUAAACCCGCCAGAGGCAGGUGACGACGCUGAGGCAGGGGGCUCUAAAAUAGCACCUAAUUUUUUCUCAGUGUCUCACUGUCCAGCUGACACUAUGAUCAAGGCUCUAUGAAAUUUGUCCUAUCUCCUGCUGUGUCCAGCCUCUGUGUUCCCACAGUUAGAGCACUCAGGGGACUAAAGACCUUCUGCCCCCACCCCUCCACCCUCAUCCCACUCCACAUCUGGAGCCCAUCAAGAAGCCCAGUGCUCUCUCACAGUUAUGCAAGAGGUCGAGCAGCUGGGAGCUCGGCUCCGAGCGCAAAGUGGGAGGAAGAGAAGAAAGCAGAGACCAACCAGCUUUCCAAGCAAGCUUCAGACUUUCCGAAAUGGAAGCAGGGGGAGAGGGCAGAGGCUGGGUGUGGAAAGAAGGCACUGUCUGCCUGGAUGCUACGGUGUUUUCUGCCAUCUUGAUUAAUGGACCU